AAAUUGAAGAGUUUGAUCAUGGCUCAGAUUGAACGCUGGCGGCAGGCCUAACACAUGCAAGUCGAACGGUAACAGGAAGCAGCUUGCUGUUUCGCUGACGAGUGGCGGACGGGUGAGUAAUGUCUGGGAAACUGCCUGAUGGAGGGGGAUAACUACUGGAAACGGUAGCUAAUACCGCAUAACGUCGCAAGACCAAAGAGGGGGACCUUCGGGC
rnacentral:rRNA from 1 species